CCCUUAGAUGUUCUGGGCCGCACGCGCGCUACACUGUUCGACGCAGCGAGCCUUAACCUUGACCGAAAGGUUUGGGUAAUCUUCGGCAAAGUCGAACGUGAUGGGGAUCGAUCGUUGCAAUUAUUGAUCGUGAACGAGGAAUUCCUAGUAAGUGCAAGUCAUCAGCUUGCGCUGAUUACGUCCCUGCCCUUUGUACACACCGUCCGUCGCUACUACCGAUUGAAUGGAGAGGCAAAAUCUUCGGACCGUGACGCUUGGGAGUCAAAUCUCGGGCUGUCGUGGGAAGUGGAUUAAACCUUUCUAUUUAGAGGAAGGUAAAGUCGUAACA
rnacentral:rRNA from 1 species